rnacentral:rRNA from 1 species
AAAUUGAAGAGUUUGAUCAUGGCUCAGAUUGAACGCUGGCGGCAGGCCUAACACAUGCAAGUCGAACGGUAACAGGAAACAGCUUGCUGUUUCGCUGACGAGUGGCGGACGGGUGAGUAAUGUCUGGGAAACUGCCUGAUGGAGGGGGAUAACUACUGGAAACGGUAGCUAAUACCGCAUAACGUCGCAAGACCAAAGAGGGGGACCUUCGGGCCUCUUGCCAUCGGAUGUGCCCAGAUGGGAUUAGCUAGUAGGUGGGGUAACGGCUCACCUAGGCGACGAUCCCUAGCUGGUCUGAGAGGAUGACCAGCCACACUGGAACUGAGACACGGUCCAGACUCCUACGGGAGGCAGCAGUGGGGAAUAUUGCACAAUGGGCGCAAGCCUGAUGCAGCCAUGCCGCGUGUAUGAAGAAGGCCUUCGGGUUGUAAAGUACUUUCAGCGGGGAGGAAGGGAGUAAAGUUAAUACCUUUGCUCAUUGACGUUACCCGCAGAAGAAGCACCGGCUAACUCCGUGCCAGCAGCCGCGGUAAUACGGAGGGUGCAAGCGUUAAUCGGAAUUACUGGGCGUAAAGCGCA